UGGCGGCACUAGCGCGGUGGUCCCACCUGACCCCAUGCCGAACUCAGAAGUGAAACGCCGUAGCGCCGAUGGUAGUGUGGGGUCUCCCCAUGCGAGAGUAGGGAACUGCCAGACA
rnacentral:rRNA from 6 species